UAGGUAAGGACUCCUGGAAUGGAUCCUCGCCUAAAAGACGUUGAGUCCAUGCUAUUCAGCGCCGCCCAAGGACGAGGCCGCGGCCGAUCAGGUAGUUGGCGAGGCAACGGCUCACCAAGCCUAUAACCGGUACGGGCCGUGAGAGCGGGAGCCCGGAGAUGGGCACUGAGACAAGGGCCCAGGCCCUACGGGGCGCAGCAGUUGCGAAAACUCCGCAAUGCGCGAAAGCGUGACGGGGCUACCCCGAGUGCCGCCCGUUGAGGGCGGCUUUUCCGCGGUGUAAGGAGCCGUGGGAAUAAGGAGAGGGCAAGCCUGGUGUCAGCCGCCGCGGUAAUACCAGCUCUCCGAGUGGUGGGGACGAUUAUUGGGCUUAAAGCGUUCGUAGCCGGCUUAACAAGUCUUCCGUUAAAUCCAACGAUCUAAUCGUUGGGGUGCGGGAGAUACUGUUGAGCUAGGAGGCGGGAGAAGCCGACGGUAUUCUCGGGGUAGGGGUGAAAUCCUGUAAUCCCGGGAGGACCACCAGUGGCGAAGGCGGUCGGCUAGAACGCGCUCGACGGUGAGGGACGAAAGCUGGGGGAGCGAACCGGAUUAGAAACCCGGAUAGUCCCAGCUGUAAACGAUGCGGGCUAGGUGUUGGGGUGGCCACGAGCCACCUCAGUGCCGCAUGGAAGCAAUUAAGCCCGCCGCCUGGGGA
rnacentral:rRNA from 1 species